rnacentral:rRNA from 1 species
CAGCAGCCGCGGUAAUACAGAGGGUGCGAGCGUUAAUCGGAUUUACUGGGCGUAAAGCGUGCGUAGGCGGCUUCUUAAGUCGGAUGUGAAAUCCCUGAGCUUAACUUAGGAAUCGCAUUCGAUACUGGGAAGCUAGAGUAUGGGAGAGGAUGGUAGAAUUCCAGGUGUAGCGGUGAAAUGCGUAGAGAUCUGGAGGAAUACCGAUGGCGAAGGCAGCCAUCUGGCCUAAUACUGACGCUGAGGUACGAAAGCAUGGGGAGCAAACAGGAUUAGAUACCCCCGUAGUCCCUGUCUCUUAUAC